UAUGAAAAUUUGAAUGUUUGAAGCAUGGCGCGGUGCGUUUUGUCCGGUUUUCGAAUGACUUCCCAAAAAGUCGAGAAAGGUGGAAUCUUUUUAAGUUUUCACAGUUUUCCUCAGGAACCUGGCCGAAGGGCGAUUUGGUUAGAAUUCUGUGGAAUGAUGCAAGACCCCGGUUCGAAGAUGACACUCUGCUCAAAUCAUUUUGCCCGCGAUGCGUUCAUCACCGAUACCAAAUUGAAGUGGAAACUGCUUCAUACUGGUCUGAAUUAUUUCUAGAAAGAUGUGAUACCAAAAAUUCGUAAUCCAUCUGAAGAACAUGACAUGGAGACCAACCCCGGCCCCCCAAAGGCUUAAUCUGGCCCUGCUCAUUUGUAACAGAACUGCAUCAUCAGAUAAAUUGACCUGA